rnacentral:piRNA from 1 species
UCACUGCUACGCUUGGGGAGCCU